GCAUAUCAAUAAGCGGAGGAAAAGAAACCAACAGGGAUUGCCUCAGUAACGGCGAGUGAAGCGGCAAGAGCUCAACUUUGGAAUCGCUGCGGCGAGUUGUAGUCUGGAGGCGGUUGGACCGGAUGGCGUGCGUGGCGGCCAAGUCCUCUGGAACGAGGCGCCAGUGAGGGUGAGAGCCCCGUGGCCGGCUUUGCGCAGACAUCCCCCUGACCUGCCGACGAGUCGAGUUGUUUGGGAAUGCAGCUCUAAGUGGGUGGUAAAUUCCAUCUAAAGCUAAAUACCGGCGAGAGACCGAUAGCGAACAAGUACAGUAAUGGAAAGAUGAAAAGCACUUUGAAAAGAGAGUGAAACAGUACGUGAAAUUGUUGAAAGGGAAGGGCUUGCAGGUACUUAUUGUCAGCAUCGGGUGGAGCAGAUUUACAAGGAGGAGCUGAUGUAGCAACCGCUUCCGGCGGUUGCGUUAUACAACUCUUUGGAUGAAUCUCGUUUCGCCCGAGGACCGCCUUUUGAUGAAG
rnacentral:rRNA from 1 species